UAUGAGGAUAAAUCAUGUGAUCUACGUAAAAAAACAAACAACUAUUGUUUCAAUAGCAUUGAAUGAAAAUCUCUAAGAAGAACCAACAGUAUUCUCACUUUCUUAUCUACCAGCUCAGUGAUCUUUAUAUAUUAACUCUUUUUCUCCAUAAUUAUUUACCACAUUCUGGUGGAAUCAACGCUGGUAUCGUCAGUUAGGAGAGAAAGAGUUAAAGCAUGAUACAAUAUUCAAUCUAGUUGCAGUUACAACUAAAAAUCAAGAUUCGAUUUACAAGGAAAAAAAAAAAAAAAAAAUUAUAG